UGAUCUACUAUAGUUUUUUUUUUUUUUUUUUUUUUUUUUUAAUU
rnacentral:ribozyme from 14 species